GGAAGGGGUGUAUUUAUUAGAUAAAAAACCAAUGCCCUUCGGCGCUCCUUUGGAGUUUCAUAAUAACUUCUCAAAUCACGGGCUCGUGCCCUGGAUAGGCUUCUUUCAUUUAUCUGCCCUAUCAUUUUUCUAGGGAAAGAUAGACGUCUACCGUGCUUUCAACGGAUAACGGAAAAUAAGGGCUCUAUUCCAGAGAGAGACCCAGAAAAACGGAUACCACCUCCAGAGAGGGCAGCGGGCGCGCAUUUUCCCCUGUCCCUACACGGGGAGGUAGUGACUAUAAAUAGCAACAGGGGGCCCUUUUGGGUCUUAUAAUUGGAAUGAGUACUCUUAAAUCCCUUAACGAAAAACAUUUGAGGGGGCAAGUGGGGUGCCAGCACCCGCGGUAUUUCCCUCUCCAAUAGCGUAUAUUAAAGUUGUUGCAGUUAAAAAGCUCGUAUUUGAACUGGAACCUGGCUGGAUGGUCUGCCUAACGAGUAUGUACUGUUCCGGCUGGGCCUUUCCUUCUUGGUGAGCCCGGCAUGCCCUUCNGGGGGUGUGGGGGAAAACCAGACACUUUUAC
rnacentral:rRNA from 1 species